rnacentral:rRNA from 1 species
CAGUAGCCACGGGAAUACAGAGGGUGCGAGCGUUAAUCGGAAUUACUGGGCGUAAAGCGCACGCAGGCGGUCUGACAAGUCAGAUGUGAAAUCCCCGGGCUUAACCUGGGAACUGCAUUUGAAACUGUCAGGCUGGAGUCUUGUAGAGGGGGGUGGAAUUCCAGGUGUAGCGGUGAAAUGCGUAGAGAUCUGGAGGAAUACCGGUGGCGAAGGCGGCCCCCUGGACAAAGACUGACGCUCAGGUGCGAAAGCGUGGGGAGCAAACAGGAUUAGAUACCCCAGUAGUCCCUGUCUCUUAUAC